UGCGGGGCGGCGCUUUCCAUGCAGUCGAACGGUAACAGGGAGCUUGCUCCGCUGACGAGUGGCGAACGGGUGAGUAAUAUAUCGGAACGUACCCAAGAGUGGGGGAUAACGUAGCGAAAGUUACGCUAAUACCGCAUACGAUCUAUGGAUGAAAGCAGGGGACCUUCGGGCCUUGUGCUCCUGGAGCGGCCGAUAUCUGAUUAGCUAGUUGGUGAGGUAAAGGCUCACCAAGGCGACGAUCAGUAGCUGGUCUGAGAGGACGACCAGCCACACUGGAACUGAGACACGGUCCAGACUCCUACGGGAGGCAGCAGUGGGGAAUUUUGGACAAUGGGCGCAAGCCUGAUCCAGCAAUGCCGCGUGAGUGAAGAAGGCCUUCGGGUUGUAAAGCUCUUUUGUCAGGGAAGAAACGGCUGUGGCUAAUAUCCACGGCUAAUGACGGUACCUGAAGAAUAAGCACCGGCUAACUACGUGCCAGCAGCCGCGGUAAUACGUAGGGUGCAAGCGUUAAUCGGAAUUACUGGGCGUAAAGCGUGCGCAGGCGGUUUUGUAAGUCUGUCGUGAAAUCCCCGGGCUCAACCUGGGAAUUGCGAUGGAGACUGCAAGGCUAGAAUCUGGCAGAGGGGGGUAGAAUUCCACGUGUAGCAGUGAAAUGCGUAGAGAUGUGGAGGAACACCGAUGGCGAAGGCAGCCCCCUGGGUCAAGAUUGACGCUCAUGCACGAAAGCGUGGGGAGCAAACAGGAUUAGAUACCCUGGUAGUCCACGCCCUAAACGAUGUCUACUAGUUGUCGGGUUUUAAUUAACUUGGUAACGCAGCUAACGCGUGAAGUAGACCGCCUGGGGAGUACGGUCGCAAGAUUAAAACUCAAAGGAUUUGACGGGGACCCGCACAAGCGGUGGAUGAUGUGGAUUAAUUCGAUGCAACGCGAAAACCUUACCUACCCUUGACAUGUCAGAAGACCGAGAG
rnacentral:rRNA from 1 species